UACGUAGGGUGCAAGCGUUGUCCGGCAUUAUUGGGCGUAAAGAGCUCGUAGGCGGUCUGUCGCGUCGGCUGUGAAAACCCGGAGCUCAACUCCGGGCCUGCAGUCGAUACGGGCAGACUGGAGUUCGGCAGGGGAGACUGGAAUUCCUGGUGUAGCGGUGAAAUGCGCAGAUAUCAGGAGGAACACCGGUGGCGAAGGCGGGUCUCUGGGCCGAUACUGACGCUGAGGAGCGAAAGCGUGGGGAGCGAACAGG
rnacentral:rRNA from 1 species